rfam:Blautia sp. YL58, complete genome.
UCCAUCGCGAGGUGGAAUCUGAAGGAAGCCGGAUGGCAAACCUCUGGUCUGACGAACAGAAAUCACAUAAGAGGCUAGGCAUGAGGAUAAGGCUGCCUUACAAGUCGAAGUCCAAUAACUACACAGAAUCAUGUUUGGUAAAUGUGGCAGAUAGGUGGAGGGAAGGAACGUGUG